rnacentral:misc_RNA from 1 species
GAAAUGCGAAAAGUAAUGCGAAUUGCAGAAUUCAGCGAGUCAUCGAGUUUUUGAACGCACAUUGCGCCCGCCGGUAUUCCGGCGGGCAUGCCUGUCCGAGCGUCUACAACAAACCCUCGAGCCCGGCUUGUGUGAUGGGCCCUGGCGUCUCGUUCGCGAGACGGGCCCGAAAGGCAGCGGCGGCGUCGACCCGAUGAGCCCGAGCGUAUGGGGACUUUUGUCACACGUUUGCGGUGCGGACCGGCGCCUGCUUGACUUUUCUGAUUAUCCAGGUUGACCUCGGAUCAGGUAGGGAUACCCGCUGAACUUAAGC